UUCAGUGCAGCAGCACUCGGGGCUGGUGAAUCCCACCCUUGGCUGCUCCGAGGGGCACGGCUCGGCCUGGGGAUGUGCUUGAGAAGGGGCUCUGGAUGGGCUGGGGGUGGAUCCAGGGAGAGGCGCUCCAGAAGGUGCUGGUUUGGGGAGGUUUGUGGGUUUGGAAGAUGCUGGCUGGGGAGGGAUGUGGGUUGGGUGACAGAUGUUCAUUCAGGAGAUGUGGUUUUGGGAAGGAUGCAGAUUUUGGGAAGGGUGCUGGCUUGGGGGGUGAUGCUGGUUUGGGAAAGAAGGAGAUUUUGGGAAGGGUGCUGGCUUGGGGGGUGAUGCUGGUUUGGGAUGGAUGUGGAUUUUGGGAGAUGUGCUGGUUUCAGAGAUUUGCUGGUCUGGGAGCAACACUAAUUUUGGGAGGGAUAAGGGUUUGGAAGGUGCUGCUUUAGAGAAGGCUGUUUAUUUGGAGGAUUCUGAUUUGGGAUUGAUGCUGGUUUGGAAAGGGUGCAGAUUUUGGGAAGGGAUGCUGGCCUGAAGGGAUGCUGGUUUGGGAAGUGGUGUUUGUUUGGAGCAUGCUGGUCCAGGAGGGAUGCUGCUUUGGGGAGGGAUGCUGAUUUGGGGAUGCUGGUUUAGGGAGGGAUGCUGGUUUGGGGAUGCUGGUUUAGGGAGGGAUGCUGAUUUGGGGAUGCUGAUUUAGGGAGGGAUGAUGCUUUGGGGAUGCUGACUUGACUGAUGCUGCUCUGGGACGAGAUAUUGGAGGGGAGUGAUGGGGUUGGGGCUGGGAGAGAACCCCAGGUGCACAAAACCACCCCAAAACUCAGGGGCUGGGCUGCAGCACCGGGGUUCAGGGCAGGACCCUGUCCCCAAAGUGAUCCAUCAGUGCCACCCAUGGCUCUCCUGCCUCUUUCCCCUCUUCUCCAACAAACCAGAAGGCACAGGAACCAGCAGGAGAGGGGGAGACCAAAAGAAAAGGCACCUUUGGGCUUGGCACCAGCACACUCGUGUCACCCAUGGGCUGUCAAAAGCAUCCACACAGGAAAAACACCACCAGGAACCCCCUGCCCCACCCAGCCACGAAUAUUCCUGUUCCCAAAUCCCUUUUCCAGCCACACCGAGGGCAACCUCAGCAACGUGAAAUCAAUAUGCAGAGAGGAAUCCGGUGCCUAGUGCUUUGAAAAGCUCCACAGGAAGCAGGGAGCAAUGCUGGAGGGGGGCAGAGCACGGCUUUGCCCCCCCCGGGGAAACUGAGGCACGCAGGGGAGCAUUUUAUGGAUCAGUGCUGGGGGAGUCCCAGCUCCUGCCGUGUGAUUUUGGAGCACGGACCAAGCCGGGGGUGACAGACCUGGGCUCUGGGGCUUCUGCUGGGUAAAAUGAGGGCGAUUUCCCCCCCUCACGGGGGGCUGAAGGUGGCCACAGCCCCUGACUCAGCUCGCCCUGGGACCGAGGGAGCGGCGAGUUCCCAGAUUUGCCCCGUGACGCUGAAUCAGCCCCGCGGGGCAGCCCUGGGGGAUUUAAUGACCGCUAUCAUUAGCACCAGCCUCGAUUCCCCAUCCAAACCCAUCCCUGCACAGCGGGAGCCCAAACCCACUUGCGUUGCAGGGCCGAGGAGGACGCAAAACCCCUCGGCUGGGAAAACUUUUCUUUAAAAGAACCCCAAAUGUCAGCUCUAAAUUGGGUGUUACGCGCUCGUGCUCCGUCUCUUCAUUACUGUAUCGUAAAAUUACAUUAGGCAGGAACGAUCUGCAUUCAAAUGACUCUGUGUCUGGAAUGAUAACGCAGGAAUAUGAGAUUAAAAUGUAAUUAUGCUCUUUAAAGUCAAGGAAGGUUAAUAAAAUGUUUUUCCAAGUUGCA
ensembl:lncRNA